GUGCUCGCUAGGCAGCACAGAUACUAAAAUUGGAACGAUACAGAGAUUAGCAUGGCCCCUGCGCAAGGAUGACAUGAAAUCUGUGAAGCAUUCCACAUUUGA